rnacentral:snRNA from 1 species
GGAUGUGAGGUCAAUCUGGCAACGACAUCUGUCACCCCAUUGAUCGCCAGGCUGAUCUGGCUGGCUAGGCGGGUGUUCCCUUCCUCCCUCACCAUUCCAUGUGCAUCCCUCCUGAGAUUUACUUUUUUUAAUAA